rnacentral:rRNA from 1 species
GUGGGGAAUAUUGGGCAAUGGGCGCAAGCCUGACCCAGCAACGCCGCGUGAAGGAAGAAGGCUUUCGGGUUGUAAACUUCUUUUCUUAGGGACGAAGCAAGUGACGGUACCUAAGGAAUAAGCCACGGCUAACUACGUGCCAGCAGCCGCGGUAAUACGUAGGUGGCAAGCGUUAUCCGGAUUUACUGGGUGUAAAGGGCGUGUAGGCGGGAUUGCAAGUCAGAUGUGAAAACCACGGGCUCAACCUGUGGCCUGCAUUUGAAACUGUAGUUCUUGAGUACUGGAGAGGCAGACGGAAUUCCUAGUGUAGCGGUGAAAUGCGUAGAUAUUAGGAGGAACACCAGUGGCGAAGGCGGUCUGCUGGACAGCAACUGACGCUGAGGCGCGAAAGCGUGGGGAGCAAACAGGAUUAGAAACCCGAGUAGUCC